rnacentral:rRNA from 1 species
AGCAACCGCGGUAAUUCCAGCUCCAAUAGCGUAUAUUAAAGUUGUUGCAGUUAAAAAGCUCGUAGUUGAAUUUCGGGAUCAAUUUGCUGGUCGUGCCUUCGGUACGCACUGGUAUUAUUGGUUUCUCCUUUCUGAUGAAUCGCGAUGUCAUUAAUUUGGUGUCGUGGGGAAUCAGGACCGUUACUUUGAAAAAAUUAGAGUGUUUAAAGCAGGCUCACGCUUGAAUACAUUAGCAUGGAAUAAUGAAAUAGGACGUUUGAUUCUAUUUUGUUGGUUUCUAGGAUCGACGUAAUGAUUAAUAGGGAUAGUUGGGGGCAUUAGUAUUCAAUUUUCAGAGGUGAAAUUCUUGGAUUUAUUGAAGACUAACUACUGCGAAAGCAUUUGCCAAGGAUGUUUUCAUUAAUCAAGAACGAAAGUUAGGGGAUCGAAGACGAUCAGAUACCGUCGUAGUCUUAACCAUAAACUAUGCCGACUAGGGAUCGGAUGAUGUUAAUUUUUAAUGACUCAUUCGGCGCCUUAC